GAUGAACGCUGGCGGCGUGCCUAAUACAUGCAAGUCGAGCGAACAGAUAAGGAGCUUGCUCCUUUGACGUUAGCGGCGGACGGGUGAGUAACACGUGGGUAACCUACCUAUAAGACUGGAAUAACUCCGGGAAACCGGGGCUAAUGCCGGAUAACAUGUUGAACCGCAUGGUUCUACAGUGAAAGGCGGCUUUGCUGUCACUUAUAGAUGGACCCGCGCCGUAUUAGCUAGUUGGUGAGGUAACGGCUCACCAAGGCAACGAUACGUAGCCGACCUGAGAGGGUGAUCCGCCACACUGGAACUGAGACACGGUCCAGACCCCUACGGGAGGCAGCAGGAGGGAAUCUUCCGCAAUGGGCGAAAGCCUGACGGAGCAACGCCGCGUGAGUGAUGAAGGUCUUCGGAUCGUAAAACUCUGUUAUUAGGGAAGAACAAAUGCGUAAGUAACUGUGCGCGUCUUGACGGUACCUAAUCAGAAAGCCACGGCUAACUACGUG
rnacentral:rRNA from 1 species